UACGAAGGGGGCUAGCGUUGUUCGGAAUUACUGGGCGUAAAGGGCGCGUAGGCGGUGUGUCAAGCCAGAUGUGAAAUCCCCGGGCUCAACCUGGGAACUGCAUUUGGGACUGCAAGGCUAGAGUACGGCAGAGGGGGGUAGAAUUCCUGGUGUAGCAGUGAAAUGCGUAGAUAUCAGGAGGAAUACCGAUGGCGAAGGCAGCCCCCUGGGUCGAUACUGACGCUCAUGCACGAAAGCGUGGGGAGCAAACAGG
rnacentral:rRNA from 1 species